ACAGAGAACAGCACAGUAGAUAUUGAUUGGGAAGAUCAGGAGGACGUGGAGGAUACCGGUUCACCAUGGGAAGGUUCGGUUAUGUACAGGAGAAAUGCGUCAGUCACACAUGUUGAAUACUGCACUACCUUAGAGAGGCUUGGGUUGGGAAAGUUAUCCACUGAGGUCUCUAAGAAGAGGGCUUCUUCAAUGGGACUUAGAGUGACCAAAGAUGUUAAGGAUUAUCCGGACGGGACACCUGUUCAAGUUUCGGUUGAUGUCAUAAGGAAGAAGAAGAAGCUGAGACUCGAUGGGAUUGUCAGGACUGUUAUCACACUUGGCUGCAACAGGUAGCUUUCUUAUGAGUCUUUACUAGUCUGGUCACUGCAUCAACUUUGUUGUUUACUUGUUUUUUCCUUGUGUGUUGAAGAUGCGGUGAGGAAGCAGGUGAGAGCAUCUUCUCCAACUUCUCGUUGUUACUAACCGAAGAGCCAGUUGAAGAACCGGAUGUCAUUGAUCUAGGAUUCACAUUCGGUAAUGACAAAGCCAAUUCCUUUUCUUUGGACGACAGAGAAGAAAAUGAGGAUGAAGAUGAUGAGAUAGAUUGGGAGGAUAAGCUCCAUUUUCCACCUGAGGUGAAAGAAGUAGAUAUCUCAAAGCAUAUAAGAGACUUGGUGCAUUUAGAGAUCACCAUGAACGCUAUAUGUGAUCCUGCGUGUAAAGGAAUGUGCUUGAAAUGCGGUGCGAAUCUGAAUAAGAAGAAGUGUGAUUGUGGAAGUGAAGAGAAGGAUAAAGGAUAUGGACCUCUUGGGAACCUGAGAAAGCAAAUGCAACAGAAAGAGGGUCUUAGAAACUAAACCUCAUCACUACUUUUUUUGGAUUUGUAUCUCUUUCUUUCUCGGUUUACUGUUAUAAAACCUCAAACUCAAAUGUACCAAAAAUUUCAUUAGAGAAUCUGAAGUGGCUAAAGCUUUAGUUCAAACUCAUCAUUUCAGAGUGUGAAUGUUAUACAACACAAGAACAAAUGAAAUUAAUUGCAGAGUUCCAGAACUCUAGUGCUAGAUUGGUCUUUGUUGAGUUUGUAAACAAGCAUUGAUCUCCAUAUACUUUUUGGCUGAUUAUGUUUGCUUGAUAAGCAACUUACUGUUUAUGGUAGCCUCUCUAAGGAACACACAAGGCUCCCUAGUACAGUUGUAGUAUUCAUCACUUUAACUCUCUGAGAAGACUCAACUGUGUCAAAACUCAAAAGUGCCUGCUCGAUACUUGUAAAGCUCAAAUGUUUCAAUUCAUUAGCAUACCCCCCAAAAGCAGCCAGUGGUAAAGCUUUCAACGAAUCUGGAAUUCACAAUUUCAGUUACUAAUUUGCGCAUUACAUUUACUCGUCCCAGGUUUUAAUGUCUUUCUUUUAUUGUAUUUGAAUAUGAACAGCAUCAAAAUCUUUUGAGAGACUUUGGAGAAACAAAAAUUGGUAAAACGAGAUUCAAAGAUGUAACAGCAUCUGCAAAAGCAACUCAGAAAUUAACAAAAACUCUUAAGAUCCAAAUACAACUUGUAUUGAAACCAAACUCAAUUCAUUGCCACAGAAACACAGACCAUAAGAUCCAAUACAUAAUCAUUAGCUUCUUAUAAGUAGAGACAAUAAAUAAAACACGAAAGGAGUAGUAACAACCCAAAUCAUCUGCUAUUGUUGAGAAUGGAACCCAAAGUACCCAAAACAGCGAAAGCAAGCAGAGGGCUGACGUCAAGGGUAUCAAAGACGGGAGGGAUGAUGUUCCUGAAGAGAUUGAGAUACGGAUCACAAAGAUCCCUGAUGGCAGACAGAGGCUGGCGAUCCCAAGGGAUGUUGGGGAACCAACUCAGCAAAACUCUAACCAUCAACACACCGAAAAAAAAUUGACAUUGUAAAACUUGGUAAACUCUAAACAUUUUAACUCAAAUUCUAAACAUUAAACUCUAAAUCUUAGGAUUAACACUAAACCUUAGCUCAAACUCUAUACACUAAACUCUAAAUCCUAAGCCCUAGGAUUAGUCCUAAAACUUAGGAUUAUCAUUAAACCCUAAACAGUGUCGGCAAAACCUUAAACCCUAAAAAUCUUAAACUUUAAACUCUAAAUCCUAGGAUUUAGGGUUAAUAUUAAGGUUUAGGGUUAACCCCAUGGUUUAAGAUUAACCCUAGAAUAUAGGAUUAACUCUAGGUUUAGUGUUUAGAGUUUGAGCUAUAGGAUUUAAUGUUAAUACUAAGAUUUAAGGUUUAGUGUUUAGAAUUCAAGUUAUAAGGUUCAGGGUUUAGAAUUUAGAAUUUUGCAAUGUCAAUUUUUUUACAAUUAAUUUUUUUUUUUCAUAAACAAGAUAUGGUACAUGACAUAUUUUUAUUGGUUAGUAACUAAGAAUAGCUUAUAUUUGGCUAUGCAAUAUAUAUUUUUGAAAAUAAAUGUACUAGUAUAUAGAAACAUAGUAAUGGUUAUAUUUAUAAAAAAAAUAUUAUAGAACAAUAGUUCAUAUAGUAAAACAUAAUUAAAUGACAAAUAAUUUAUGUAAUAUACCACUUUAUUUAUUUAAUAUCCAACCACAAUAUAGAUAACAAACAUAUAUACAACCAAUAAAAAAUGCCGAUCAGUUAUGAAUGUUAUAUAUUUCUAAAAUUAAAAAUCCGUUGCAUAGAUGUACAAGUCGAAAUCUAGUUUUUGGUUUAAAUUCAUGUUUGAUGAUGAAUUUGGUUCAGUUUGGCACACUUUUUAAAAUCCAUGUUUGGUAUGAUAUCCGAUUAGUUCGGUUUUCAAAUUUAUUUAGUUUUAACCAAAUUCCAAACUUACUAAAAUUUCAAAUAAAAAAUAAUUGAAUUUAUUUAGAACUAACCAAAAUUAAUUUAAACUAAAUAUUACCAAAAACAAAUACUCGUUUAAUUUCAAUAGAAUUAUCAGAAACCAAACGACCCCAACCAAAUUAACUGGAGGAACCGAACCCGCAUGGCAAUUACUAUUAGGGAAUGAUUUAUCACUUCAAUUUGGUUUGGUUAGAGUAAACCGAUAAUUUGAACCGAAUUGGACCGAGUAAGGAGUGGAUUGGGUGGGGGGGGUUUAAGAUAAACGAGGGAAGCUGUUCUCUUCCUUCCAAGCAUAAAAUUAAGGAUUCCUCUCCAAAGUGAUAAAGGAACGGAACACAGUCCAGCCCUAAAGCGAGUUUUGUCCGUAAGCAAUCUCAUACCUUAAACCCUUCUUCUCGCUUUUAAUUUACACUAGACAAUUUGGAAAAUUUCGAUCAUGAUUUUGUUCAUCGGCUGUAAAUUGGAAGUCGAAAGGUGUGACCUUUAUCUAUAUGAAAUGACGCAUAGAAGGUGUUCGACAAAAUGCUUACUACAAUCUCUUUAGUUCCUUGAGAUUAGUUUUUUUCUAAUGCUUCCUGUGAAUCUUCCUGUCUUAACACUUCAACAUCAUAUGUUUCUUGCAGGUGUGGUGAAAGACUGAUACUUGAUUCUUCUCUACUUGUUCCCCCAUCAUGUGUUAGUAUGAUAGCUAUAGCUUGACCAACUUACAUACAAGUGCCUCUUGUGCGGUAAAAAUGUCUCUGCUUUGCUCUUCAUCUAGUGCAGCUCCCCCUUUCCCACAGACCAAACUGUCAACUCCAAGUUUUCUGAAACCCAAAACACGUUCCUUAACUCUAUGUUCUGCCUUCGGCUACCCCAAUUCCAUCACUGGUAUCAAGAAGGACAUCAGUUACUUGUUCACAGGACCGCAUAAGCUUCCUAGGCUAGCAAAGAGUCAGAUACUAGUUAGUCCGGAGUCUUUUACAGAGAACAGCACAGUAGAUAUUGAUUGGGAAGAUCAGGAGGACGUGGAGGAUACCGGUUCACCAUGGGAAGGUUCGGUUAUGUACAGGAGAAAUGCGUCAGUCACACAUGUUGAAUACUGCACUACCUUAGAGAGGCUUGGGUUGGGAAAGUUAUCCACUGAGGUCUCUAAGAAGAGGGCUUCUUCAAUGGGACUUAGAGUGACCAAAGAUGUUAAGGAUUAUCCGGACGGGACACCUGUUCAAGUUUCGGUUGAUGUCAUAAGGAAGAAGAAGAAGCUGAGACUCGAUGGGAUUGUCAGGACUGUUAUCACACUUGGCUGCAACA
rnacentral:lncRNA from 1 species